UACGUAGGAUGCGAGCGUUAUCCGGAUUUAUUGGGUUUAAAGGGUGCGUAGGCGGACGCUUAAGUCAGCGGUAAAAUUGCGGGGCUCAACCUCGUCGAGCCGUUGAAACCGGGUGUCUUGAGUGGGCGAGAAGUACGCGGAAUGCGUGGUGUAGCGGUGAAAUGCAUAGAUAUCACGCAGAACUCCGAUUGCGAAGGCAGCGUACCGGCGCCCAACUGACGCUGAAGCACGAAGGCGUGGGUAUCGAACAGG
rnacentral:rRNA from 1 species